GAAGCUUGCUUCCUAUGAAAUCGAGUGGCAAACGGGUGAGUAACGCGUAAACAACCUGCCCUUCGGAUGGGGAUAACAGCCGGAAACGGCUGCUAAUACCGAAUACGAUCUUUUCGUCGCAUGACGGAAAGAAGAAAGGAUGGCCUCUAUACAAAGCUAUCGCCGAAGGAGGGGUUUGCGUCUGAUUAGCUGGUUGGAGGGGUAACGGCCCAACAAGGCGAUGAUCAGUAGCCGGUCUGAGAGGAUGAACGGCCACAUUGGGACUGAGACACGGCCCAGACUCCUACGGGAGGCAGCAGUGGGGAAUCUUCCGCAAUGGACGAAAGUCUGACGGAGCAACGCCGCGUGAGUGAAGAAGGUCUUCGGAUUGUAAAGCUCUGUUAUACGGGACGAAAAAGACGGAUGCCAACAGUAUCCGUCCGUGACGGUACCGUAAGAGAAAGCCACGGCUAACUACGUGCCAGCAGCCGCGGUAAUACGUAGGUGGCAAGCGUUGUCCGGAAUUAUUGGGCGUAAAGGGCGCGCAGGCGGUUCGGUAAGUCUGUCUUAAAAGUGCGGGGCUUAACCCCGUGAGGGGACGGAAACUGUCGAACUUGAGUGUCGGAGAGGAAAGCGGAAUUCCUAGUGUAGCGGUGAAAUGCGUAGAUAUUAGGAGGAACACCGGUGACGAAAGCGGCUUUCUGGACGACAACUGACGC
rnacentral:rRNA from 1 species